rnacentral:ncRNA from 1 species
GAGCGGUUGAGGGAAUAGGCCCUUUGAUGCCCGGCAACCUGCGCCAGAGAUGGCGAAUGUGGUGCCAAAUCCUACAGAAUUUAUUCUGAAAGAUGAGG